GGGUAAAUGAAGAAUUUUUGGGUUGGAAAUAGAGAUGGUGUAAAUUAGAUAAUCUGUUUAUUAGUGAUGGGUAAAAUGGUGAAAUGUGCUAAUUUGAGGCUGAGGAGUUGAUAUUCUAGGUAGUUUGAUUUUUUGAAGAUUAGGAUACAGACCAGGAUUAGAUACCCUGUUAUGCUUUUGGUAAUUAUGUAGGAACUCGGGGUAGUAAAUAGAUAUGGGCUUGAAAUCUAAAGAAUUUGGCGGUAUUUAAGUCCAGUUAGAGGAACUUGUGCUGUAAACGAUAAACCGCGAAUAUCUUGUUUUGUCUUGGAUGUUCAGUACGUAUACCGCCAUUAUUGAUAAUUUUAGAAGGAGUUUAUCGGGAUAGAUUUAUAUUUAGGAUAUUAGGUCAAGGUGCGGCUGAUGACAAAGGAGACAUGGGUUACAUUGCCACUUGUGGGCGGAGGGAUUUAGUAAGUUAGGUUCUGUAAGUCGGAUUUAAUUGUAAAUUAGGUAUAUUAAGCUUGGUUGAUAAGGGCUCUUAGAUAUGUACACAUCGCCCGUCGUUCUCGCUUU
rnacentral:rRNA from 1 species